AAAAAAAAAAAAAAAAAAAAAAAGAAAAAAAAAAAAAAAAAAAAAAAAAGAGGAAGAAAGAAAGAAAGAAUCCAAGACUGGCAGCUGGUGGCAGACUUUAUUUUUCAUUGCUCUUUAAACUUUCUCACGUUCCCUCAUGAGCAUAAGUGUCACCUUGGGCUCGCCGUCUUUCUCAUCAUUUAUCUCCUUUACCUAAAAUAUUAGUUAUUUGUUGAGCGGAUAAAGUUUACUGGAACACAUUUUGGCUUUUUCCUUUUUUCUUUCAGUACUGCCACUGAAUUUACUCUCAUGUAAUGCUGUUAUAGAGCAGGAUCAAGAAAAUGUGCCCUGCCUUAACUCCCUGUCAUUAUGCACGGAGAUCUCACACAAUGAAGAUACGCAUAAUGCAUUCAUCGCAUACGCACUACCAUGCAUGCAUUUCACCAGCAGUCAUCCCUAAUCAAUGCAGAUCUGCAAUUCAAGGUUACUUGUUUGUAUUCCUGGCCUGGGACUUGAAAAGUACGUUGUUUCUCCUUCUCUACUUCUUUUCCUUCCACUCAUUUUCAAAUGUCAAAAUUAGACCUGUGCUUCAAGGCCUAACCCCAAUGUCAUUUCCUUCAUGCCACCUUUCCAUCUUCCUGUCCCAUCUCUGAAUCCUAUGAGUGCCGCCGCAUUUAUACAUACACUGUGGUGUUUACUUUUUUUUUUUUUUUUUCGCUUUUUAGGGCCGCACCUGCGGAGGAGGUUCACAGCCUAGGGGUUGAAUAAGAGCUGUAGCUGCUGGCCUACACCACAGCCACAGCAAUGCAAGAUCUGAGCCACAUCUGUGACCUACACCACAGCUCAUGGCAAUGCCAGAUCCUUAACCCACUGAGCGAGGCCAGGGAUUGAAUCCACUUCCUCGUAGAUGCUAGUUUGAUUUGUUAAUGACUGAGCCACAACGGGAACUCCUACAUUUUAUUCAGUGUACUUACUUGAGCAUGUCCUAACGCUCCUAUAAGACAGUUAAUUGUAGGCAGGGACUAUAUCGGAUUUAACUUCCUGCCUCCAAAUACUAACAAAAGAAUCAACUGUUCAAAGGGAAUUUGUAAUUUAAAAAAUUAAUGUAAUUUUAAAUCUGUAUUAACUAUCAUUAGCGUAUAAUGAUAGCUAAAUUCCAAGAGGGGGGAGUUCUCUUGUGGCUCAGUGGGUUAAGGAUCCAGCAUUGCUGCAGCUGUGGCACAGGUCGUGGGUUCGAUCCCUGGCCCAGGAACUUCCACAUGCUGCAGAUGUGGCCAAAUGGAUGAACAAACAAAAAUUCCAGGAGGGGGAGAAAAAGCCAAUAAAUCAGCUGACCUAAAGGAAGGGGAGGGAGUUCCCACUAAGGCGUAGUGGACUAAGAAUCCAACUGCAGUGGCUGGGGUCCCUGCAGAGGCAAGGGUUUGAUCCCUGGCCCAGGGCAGUGGGUUAAAGCAUCUGGCGUUGCCACAGCUUUGGCUCAGCUUUAAUCCCUGCCUGGGAACCUCCAUAUGCCGAGGGAGUGGCCCAAGAAAUAGCUAAAAGAAAAAAAAAAUACAAAAAAAAAAAAA
rnacentral:lncRNA from 1 species